rnacentral:rRNA from 1 species
UGCAUUUCCCAAAAGCGGAGGAAAAGAAACCAACAGGGAUUGCCCCAGUAACGGCGAGUGAAGCGGCAACAGCUCAAAUUUGAAAUCUGGCCCUCCCCGGGGGGCCCGAGUUGUAAUUUGCAGAUUGUGCUUUUGGCGAGGGGCCUUCCGAGUUCCCUGGAACGGGACGCCAUAGAGGGUGAGAGCCCCGUCUGGUCGGCCGCCGAGCCUCUGUAAAGCACCUUCGACGAGUCGAGUAGUUUGGGAAUGCUGCUCAAAAUGGGAGGUAUAUGUCUUCUAAAGCUAAAUACCGGCCAGAGACCGAUAGCGCACAAGUAGAGUGAUCGAAAGAUGAAAAGCACCUUGAAAAGGGGGUUAAACAGUACGUGAAAUUGUUGAAAGGGAAGCGCUCGCGACCAGACUUGGGCCCGGCGGAUCACCCAGCGUUCUCGCUGGGGCACUCCGCCUCGUCCCAGGCCAGCAUCGGUUCGUGCCGGGGGACAAAGGCGGCGGGAACGUGGCUCCCCCGGGAGUGUUAUAGCCCGCCGUGCAAUGCCCUGGGGCGGACCGAGGAUUCGCGCAUCUGCAUGGAUGCUGGCGUAAUGGUCACCAGCGACCCGUCUUGAAAAACCGGGAACAAAAACGCCGGCAUCCAUGCACAUGCCGAAUCCUCGGUCGGCCCCGGGGCAUUGCACCGGCGGGCUAUAACACUCCCGGGGGAGCCACGUUUCCCCCCCCCUUUGUCCCCCGGCACGAACCGAAUCCUGGCUGGGGACGAGGCGGAAUGCCCACCAGAACCCUCGGUGAUCGCCCGGCCCAGUCUGGUCCCAGCCUUCCCUUUUCAAAAAUUUUCGUACUGUUUAACCCCUUUUCAGGGGUUUUUAUCUUUUAUCCCCUACUG